AAGUCAUAACAAGGUUUCCGUAGGUGAACCUGUGGAAGGAUCAUUAUUGAGACAUGAAUCGUAGCAUUGAGAACUGUUGCUGACCUGUUAAAGGGUAUGUGCACAUUUUGUGUGUUGCGUUUUAUUCUUUUUUCCAUGUGCACAUUUGUAGACUUGGUUAGGAUUUUGUUACUGAGUGGUUAGCAAAGCUCUCUUUGCUUAGGAUUUCGCUCUCAAGCGGAUUGAAGGGUUGCUGCAAAGCUCUCUUUGUCUACCAGGUCUAUGUCUAUAAUCUCUUGUAUGUAUAGAAUGUCUUGUUUAUAGGACACAAGUCCUUUAAAUGUUAUACAACUUUCAACAACAGAUCUCUUGGCUCUU
rnacentral:misc_RNA from 1 species